rnacentral:rRNA from 1 species
AACGAACGCUGGCGGCAUGCCUAACACAUGCAAGUCGAACGAGAUCUUCGGGUCUAGUGGCGCACGGGUGCGUAACGCGUGGGAAUCUGCCCUUUGGUUCGGAAUAACAGUUGGAAACGACUGCUAAUACCGGAUGAUGACGAAAGUCCAAAGAUUUAUCGCCAGAGGAUGAGCCCGCGUAGGAUUAGCUAGUUGGUGUGGUAAAGGCACACCAAGGCGACGAUCCUUAGCUGGUCUGAGAGGAUGAUCAGCCACACUGGGACUGAGACACGGCCCAGACUCCUACGGGAGGCAGCAGUGGGGAAUAUUGGACAAUGGGCGAAAGCCUGAUACAGCAAUGCCGCGUGAGUGAUGAAGGCCUUAGGGUUGUAAAGCUCUUUUACCCGGGAUGAUAAUGACAGUACCGGGAGAAUAAGCUCCGGCUAACUCCGUGCCAGCCGCCGCGGUAA